CCUGGUUGAUCCUGCCAGUAGUCAUAUGCUUGUCUCAAAGAUAAGCCAUGCAUGUCUAAGUACAGGCUUUGGUACAGCGAAACCGCGAAUGGCUCAUUAAAUCAGCUAUAAUUUAUUAGAUUGUUCUUUACUUGGAUAACUGUGGGAAUUCUAGAGCUAAUACAUGCACAAAAGCUCCGACCUUCGGGAAGGAGUGCAGUUAUUAGACCAAAACCAGCCGAGCUUCGGCUCGAACUGUUUGGUGACUCUGGAUAACGAUGAGCGGAUCGCAUGGCCUUGAGCCGGCGACGUAUCUUUCAAGUGUCUGACCUAUCAACUGACGAUGGUACGCGAUAUGCCUACCAUGGUGAUAACGGGUAACGGAGAAUAAGGGUUCGACUCCGGAGAGGGAGCCUGAGAAAUGGCUACCACAUCCAAGGAUGGCAGCAGGCGCGCAAAUUACCCACUCUCAGUACGAGGAGGUAGUGACGAAAAAUAACAAUGCGGGACUCAUCAGAGGCCUCGCAAUUGGAAUGAGCGCACUUUAAAUCGUUCGACGAGGAUCUAUUGGAGGGCAAGUCUGGUGCCAGCAGCCGCGGUAAUUCCAGCUCCAAUAGCGUAUAUUAAAGUUGUUGCAGUUAAAAAGCUCGUAGUUGGAUCUGGGGUUCGGGUCGGCGGUUUGCCGCUUCGGCGGCUACUGCCGUGCUCGACUCUUACUAGCCGGUGCGUCUUGCGGUGCUCUUCAUCGAGUGCCGUAGGAGCCUGGCAUGUUUACUUUGAAAAAAUUAGAGUGCUCAAAGCAGGCGAUUCCGCCUGAAUAGUGUUGCAUGGAAUAAUGGAAUAGGACCUCGGUUCUAAUUUGUUGGUUUUCGGAACUUGAGGUAAUGAUUAAGAGGGACGGUCGGGGGCAUUCGUAUUUCGGUGUUAGAGGUGAAAUUCUUGGAUCGCUGAAAGACGGACAAAUGCGAAAGCAUCUGCCAAGAACGUCUCCAUUAAUCAAGAACGAAAGUCAGAGGUUCGAAGACGAUCAGACACCGUCCUAGUUCUGACCAUAAACGAUGCCAACUAGCGAUCCGCAGUGGUUGCUAUAAACGGACUCUGCGAGCAGCUUCCGGGAAACCAAAGUGUUUGGGUUCCGGGGGAAGUAUGGUUGCAAAGCUGAAACUUAAAGGAAUUGACGGAAGGGCACCACCAGGAGUGGAGCCUGCGGCUUAAUUUGACCCAACACGGGGAAACUCACCCGGUCCGGACACUGUAAGGAUUGACAGAUCGAGAGCUCUUUCUUGAUUCGGUGGAUGGUGGUGCAUGGCCGUUCUUAGUUGGUGGAGUGAUUUGUCUGGUUAAUUCCGAUAACGAUCGAGGCUCUAGCCUGCUAACUAGUUGCAC
rnacentral:rRNA from 1 species